UAAUACGGGGGGAGCAAGCGUUGUUCGGAUUUACUGGGCGUAAAGGGCGCGUAGGCGGCCACGACAAGUCACUUGUGAAAUCUCCGGGCUUAACUCGGAAAGGUCAAGUGAUACUGUCGGGCUAGAGUGCAGAAGGGGCAACUGGAAUUCUCGGUGUAGCGGUGAAAUGCGUAGAUAUCGAGAGGAACACCUGCGGCGAAGGCGGGUUGCUGGGCUGACACUGACGCUGAGGCGCGAAAGCUAGGGGAGCGAACGGGAUUAGAUACCCCGGUAGUCCUAGCCUUAAACGAUGAAUGCUUGGUGUCUCGGGUUAUAAAGUCCCGGGGUGCCGUCGCCAACGCUGUAAGCAUUCCGCCUGGGGAGUACGGUCGCAAGACU
rnacentral:rRNA from 1 species